rnacentral:rRNA from 1 species
AGAGUUUGAUCCUGGCUCAGGAUGAACGCUGGCGGCGUGCUUAACACAUGCAAGUCGAACGAACCUUCGGGUUAGUGGCGGACGGGUGAGUAACGCGUGAGAAUCUGCCCUCAGGAGGGGGAUAACGGUUGGAAACGACCGCUAAUACCCCAUAUGCCGCGAGGUGAAAUGAAUUUCGCCUGAGGAUGAGCUCGCGUCUGAUUAGCUUGUUGGUAGGGUAAAAGCCUACCAAGGCUUCGAUCAGUAGCUGGUCUGAGAGGAUGAUCAGCCACACUGGGACUGAGACACGGCCCAGACUCCUACGGGAGGCAGCAGUCGGGAAUAUUGGACAAUGGAGGAAACUCUGAUCCAGCAAUGCCGCGUGUGUGAUGAAGGCCUUAGGGUUGUAAAGCACUUUCAACGGUGAAGAUGAUGACGGUAGCCGUAGAAGAAGCCCCGGCUAACUUCGUGCCAGCAGCCGCGGUAAUACGAAGGGGGCGAGCGUUGUUCGGAAUUAUUGGGCGUAAAGGGCGCGCAGGCGGUUUGGAUAGUUAGACGUGAAAGCCCUGGGCUUAACCUAGGAACUGCGUUUAAUACUGCCAGACUAGAGAACUAGAGAGGAUAGCGGAACUCCCAGUGUAGAGGUGAAAUUCGUA